ensembl:lncRNA
CCACUAUGUUGACAGUGGGAGUCAGCAAGCCAGUAUGUUGACAGUGGGAGUCAGUGAGCCAGUAUGUUGACAGUGGGAGUCAGCGAGCCAAUAGGUUGACAGUGGGAGUCAGCGAGCCAGUAUGUUGACAGUGGGAGUCAGCGAGCCAAUAGGUUGAUAGUGGGAGUCAGCGAGCCAGUAUGUUGACAGUGGGAGUCAGCGAGCCAGUAUGUUGACAGUGGGAGUCAGUGAGCCAGUAUGUUGACAGCAGGAGUCAGCAAGCCAGUAAGUUGCCAGGGGGAGUCAGCGAGCCAGUAAGUUGCCAGCGGGAGUCAAUGAGCCAUCGGGAGUCAGCGAGCCAGCGGGAGUCAGUGAGCAAGCGGGAGUCAGAGUGCCAGGGGGAGUCAGAGCGCCAGGGGGAGUCAGAGCACCAAGGGGAGUCAGAGCGCCAGGGGGAGUCAGCGGGCCUCUAUGUUGAUAACGGGAGUCAGUUUGGGAGAAAUUAUGUACAUAUAUGGAAGAUCAUAAAUAAUGUAACACUUAUAGAGUACAUUUGCCAUUCUGGUAAAAGGCAUUGUCUAUUGUAUAGGACAGGAAGCCAGAGUGGGGCCAUGGGAGAGGGCCCCACGUUGGGCGCCAGGACAGCUGGACACACUAAAACUAGAGGAGACACACAGUCUAUUGAUCCGAAAUAAAGGCACACAUACAAAGGAACAGAUGGAGCUAGCUACAGGAUCAAAGCCUAUAGCAUAGAGGAAUGUAUAUUAUCUUUAGGUCAAAGCAAGGGUCUUGUCACCAUUAGGAUCUAAUGGAAAGCAGAUGGGGGCGUUAUUGGGCUGAACAAGCAGGAUGCACGGAUUGGG